GAUGCCCAAAUAACCAUCCACCCAUUCAUCCAGACUCCCACCUACAUACCAUCCAAAUGUUGAUUUCUGUGAUCACUCCCAAGUCUUUCUGGAGAGUUAGCCCAUUGCAAGAAACUGGAUAAUUGUCAAGCAAACCGUCUUGCUCUGCUAGAAGCUGCAGUACAUUGAGAGAGCUGGGUCAGCCACAUAUCACACACCUACAUGUCAUUAUGAUCAGAGGGAUGCUAUGCAGGGAGGUACUUAGGGAACAUCACAAAGCUUUCAUUGAUGAUGUCAGUGGCUUGUGGCUCAUUUGCUUUGCAAGGGUCACGUGAGAUCACAGGGAGGAAGCAGCCUUCAAGGACUACAGCCCAGUGCCAGUGCCAAGUUCAAGAAGAGUAUCCGGGAUUGCAUGCCAAUGACCAAGAUUCUCAGAGGAGACUCACUUCUCAGAAAUACUAAUGCACAGACAUAGAAUGAACAAUUUUAUGUCAUGAAGUGGGUGGAUGGAUGGGUGUAUGGAUGAGGAAAGUGAUGAGAUAGAGCACAGGUGUCUGGAUGGGUAGAUUUGGUAAGGUUACAUAAGUAAAUGAUGCUGGACCUAACUGUGACCCAGCUGCCUGUCCCUACCUGCUGUUGCUGGUUCUGGAGGUCACUGAUCUCUUCUUGAUCCUUACUGAGCACUUGCAAGUCACCCAAGUGGUGCUUCAGCACGACCCAAUCCUCCAGUAGGUUCUCCUUCUGUUGCCUCAGCAUAUCCAAUUUCUUUUUGAGCUGACUCUGCUCCAUCAGGAGCAGGCUCUGCAGAUCAC